rnacentral:misc_RNA from 1 species
GAUAAAUAUGAGUAAGAGAUUCUAAUUUUGCAAUUGAAGGACUCAAGGUACCAGAAAGAUUGGACUUAGGCAAGUUUAUCACAAUAACUUUUUGGUUAAUAUCACAACUUAAUCCCCACCACGGCCCGUCACAGGGAUUAUCUCCUGACCAUGAUUCAACAAGUUUAGAUGGAUAAUUCAACUCAUCAAGGAAUUCUAAAAGUGCCAUAACCUCAGGUGCACAAAUUUUGGCUUGACAAAAAGAGUUGGAUUGAUAACUAACAUUUAUAGCCUUGAAAUUUGGUAUUGGCCCCAUAAAAUGAUUAUUAUUCAAAUCAAGAUGGCCUAAUGACAUAUUU